GACGAACGCUGGCGGCGUGCCUAAUACAUGCAAGUCGAACGCAGGGGGGACGGGUGAGUAACACGUGGGUAACCUCCCAUCAGAGGGGAUAACACUUGGAAACAGGUGCUAAACCGAUACUGAUGGAUGGACCCGCGGGGCAUUAGCUAGUUGGUGAGGUAAAGGCUCACCAAGGCCACGAUGCAUAGCCGGCCUGAGAGGAUGAUCGUCCACACUGGGACUGAGACACGGCCCAGACUCCUACGGGAGGCAGCAGUGGGGAAUAUUGGGCAAUGGACGAAAGUCUGAUCGAGCAACGCCGCGUGAGUGAAGAAGGUCUUCGGAUCGUAAAGCACUGUUGUCAGAGAAGCGUUAUCUAACCAGAAAGCCACGGCUAACUACGUGCCAGCCGCCGCGGUAAUUC
rnacentral:rRNA from 1 species